rnacentral:rRNA from 1 species
GACGGAGGAUGCAAGCGUUAUCCGGAAUUAUUGGGCGUAAAGCGUGCGCAGGCGGUUUUGUAAGUCAGAUGUGAAAUCCCCGAGCUCAACUUGGGAACUGCGUUUGAAACUGCAAGACUAGAAUAUGUCAGAGGGGGGUAGAAUUCCACGUGUAGCAGUGAAAUGCGUAGAGAUGUGGAGGAAUACCAAUGGCGAAGGCAGCCCCCUGGGAUAAUAUUGACGCUCAUGCACGAAAGCGUGGGGAGCGAACAGG